rnacentral:rRNA from 1 species
GCUACGUUCGGAAGGGAUAACCGCUGAAGGCAUCUAAGCGGGAAGCUCGUUCCAAGAUGAGGUAUCCCACUCUUCGUGAGUUAAGGCCCCCAGCUAGACCACUGGGUUGAUAGGCCGGAGGUGGAAGACCGGUAACGGUUGGAGCUGACUGGUACUAAUAGGCCGAGGACUUGUUACG